rnacentral:rRNA from 1 species
UACAGAGGCCUCGAGCGUUAGGCGGAAUCACUGGGCUUAAAGCGUGUGUAGGCGGAGUUCUAAGUACCUUGUGAAAUCCCACGGCUCAACCGUGGAACUGCUUGGUAUACUGGUUCUCUUGAGGUACCUAGGGGCGAGCGGAACAAGUGGUGGAGCGGUGAAAUGCGUAGAUAUCACUUGGAACGCCAACGGUGAAAACAGCUCGCUGGGGGGUAUCCUGACGCUGAGACACGAAAGCCAGGGGAGCAAACGGG